CUUGAACGCUGGCGGCAGGCUUAACACAUGCAAGUCGAGCGCGUGGCGGACGGGAGCGUAUUGUUUGGGGCUCCGCCCGAUAGAGGGGGAUAACUACUGGACAUGGUGGCUAAUAUCGCAUACCUUCGGAUGAACCCAUAUGGGAUUAGCUAGUAGGUGGGGUAAAGGCUCACCUAGGCGACGAUCUCUAUCUGGUCUGAGAGGGUGAUCAGCCACACUGGGACUGAGACGCGGCCCGGACUCCUACGGGAGGCGGCCAUGGGGAAUGAUGCACAAUAGGCGCAAGCCGGAGACAGCCAUGCCGCGUGUAUUAAGAAGGCCUUAGGGAUGUAAGGUACUUUAAGCGGGGAGACUUUACCCGCGGAAGAAGCACCGGCUAACUCCGUGCCAACAGCCGGAGUAGUAC
rnacentral:rRNA from 1 species